ensembl:lncRNA
GUGUGUGCAUGCGUGCGUGUGUGUGUGUGCCUGCGUGCGUGUGCGUAAAUAUCAGUAAAAAUGACCUCUCUACCCCCCCAUAACGGAGGGGCGGAGGUGGAUGAGAGAGAGGAGGGGGAGGAGAGAGACAUAACACCAGGCAGUAGGGGGUGAGAGAGAGGAGGGAGAGGAGAGAGAGGAGGGGGAGGAGAGAGACAUAAGACCAGGCAGUAGGGGGAGGAGAGAGAGGAGGGAGAGGAGAGAGGGAUAACACCAGGCAGUAGGGGGUGAGAGAGAGGAGGGGGAGGAGAGAGACGAGGGGGAGGAGAGAGAGGAGGGGGAGGAGAGAGACAUAAGACCAGGCAGUAGGGAGGUGAGAGAGAGGAGGGAGAGGAGAGAGACAUAGGACCAGGCAGUAGGGAGGUGAGAGAGAGGAGGGAGAGGAGAGAGACAUAAGACCAGGCAGUAGGUGGAUGAGAGAGAGGAGGUGGAUGAGAGAGAGGAGGGGGUGAGAGAGACAUAACACCAGGCAGUAGUUGGAUGAGAGACAGGAGGGGGAGGAGAGAGACAUAACACCAGGCAGUCGGGGGUGAGAGAGAGGAGGGAGAGGAGAGAGAGGAGGGGGAGGAGAGAGAGGAGGGAGAGGAGAGAGACAUAACACCAGGCAGUAGGGGGUGAGAGAGGAGGGGAGGAGAGAGACAUAAG